UGGGGAAUCUUGCACAAUGGGGGAAACCCUGAUGCAGCGACGCCGCGUGAGCGAUGAAGCCCUUCGGGGUGUAAAGCUCUUUCGGCAGGGAAGAUUAUGACGGUACCUGCAGAAGCAGCUGCGGCUAACUACGUGCCAGCAGCCGCGGUAAUACGUAGGCAGCGAGCGUUGUUCGGAGUUACUGGGCGUAAAGGGUGUGUAGGCGGCUCUCUAAGUUUGGUGUGAAAUCUCCCGGCUCAACCGGAAGGGUGCGCCGAAUACUGAAGGGCUAGAGUGUGGGAGAGGAAAGUGGAAUUCCUGGUGUAGCGGUGAAAUGCGUAGAUAUCAGGAGGAACACCGGUGGUGUAGACGGCUUUCUGGACCAUAACUGACGCUGAGGCACGAAAGCGUGGGUAGCAAACAGGAUUAGAUACCCUGGUAGUCCACGCCCUAAACGAUGCAUAUUUGGUGUGGGUCAUUCAGUUGAUCCGUGCCGGAGCUAACGCGUUAAAUAUGCCGCCUGGGGAGUACAGUCGCAAGGCUG
rnacentral:rRNA from 1 species